rnacentral:tRNA from 1 species
UCCCUGGUGGUCCAAUGGCUAAGACUCUGAACUCCCAAUACAGGGGACCAGGGUUCAACACCUGGUCGGGGAA